rnacentral:rRNA from 1 species
AAGAACCCCGGCGAGGGGAGUGAAAAAGAACCUGAAACCGUGUACGUACAAGCAGUGGGAGCACGCUUAGGCGUGUGACUGCGUACCUUUUGUAUAAUGGGUCAGCGACUUAUAUUCUGUAGCAAGGUUAACCGAAUAGGGGAGCCGAAGGGAAACCGAGUCUUAACUGGGCGUUAAGUUGCAGGGUAUAGACCCGAAACCCGGUGAUCUAGCCAUGGGCAGGUUGAAGGUUGGGUAACACUAACUGGAGGACCGAACCGACUAAUGUUGAAAAAUUAGCGGAUGACUUGUGGCUGGGGGGGAAAGGCCAAUCAAACCGGGAGAUAGCUGGUUCUCCCCGAAAGCUAUUUAGGUAGCGCCUCGUGAAUUCAUCUCCGGGGGUAGAGCACUGUUUCGGCAAGGGGGUCAUCCCGACUUACCAACCCGAUGCAAACUACGAAUACCGGAGAAUGUUAUCACGGGAGACACACGGCGGGUGCUAACGUCCGUCGUGAAGAGGGAAACAACCCAGACCGCCAGCUAAGGUCCCAAAGUCAUGGUUAAGUGGGAAACGAUGUGGGAAGGCCCAGACAGCCAGGAUGUUGGCUUAGAAGCAGCCAUCAUUUAAAGAAAGCGUAAUAGCUCACUGGUCGAGUCGGCCUGCGCGGAAGAUGUAACGGGGCUAAACCAUGCACCGAAGCUGCGGCAGCGACGCUGAUGCGUUGUUGGGUAGGGGAGCGUUCUGUAAGCCUGCGAAGGUGUGCUGUGAGGCAUGCUGGAGGUAUCAGAAGUGCGAAUGCUGACAUAAGUAACGAUAAAGCGGGUGAAAAGCCCGCUCGCCGGAAGACCAAGGGUUCCUGUCCAACGUUAAUCGGGGCAGGGUGAGUCGACCCCUAAGGCGAGGCCGAAAGGCGUAGUCGAUGGGAAACAGGUUAAUAUUCCUGUACUUGGUGUUACUGCGAAGGGGGGACGGAGAAGGCUAUGUUGGCCGGGCGACGGUUGUCCCGGUUUAAGCGUG